rnacentral:rRNA from 1 species
GAUGAACGCUGGCGGCGUGCCUAAUACAUGCAAGUCGAGCGAACAGAUGAGGAGCUUGCUCCUCUGACGUUAGCGGCGGACGGGUGAGUAACACGUGGAUAACCUACCUAUAAGACUGGGAUAACUUCGGGAAACCGGAGCUAAUACCGGAUAAUAUAUUGAACCGCAUGGUUCAAUAGUGAAAGACGGUUUUGCUGUCACUUAUAGAUGGAUCCGCGCCGCAUUAGCUAGUUGGUAAGGUAACGGCUUACCAAGGCAACGAUGCGUAGCCGACCUGAGAGGGUGAUCGGCCACACUGGAACUGAGACACGGUCCAGACUCCUACGGGAGGCAGCAGUAGGGAAUCUUCCGCAAUGGGCGAAAGCUUGACGGAGCAACGCCGCUUGAGUGAUGAAGGUCUUCGGAUCGUAAAACUCUGUUAUUAGGGAAGAACAAAUGUGUAAGUAACUAUGCACGUCUUGACGGUACCUAAUCAGAAAGCCACGGCUAACUACGUG